AUUGAACGCUGGCGGCAGGCCUAACACAUGCAAGUCGAACGAGUGGCGGACGGGUGAGUAAUGUCUGGGAAACUGCCCGAUGGAGGGGGAUAACUACUGGAAACGGUAGCUAAUACCGCAUACCAUCGGAUGUGCCCAGAUGGGAUUAGCUAGUAGGUGGGGUAACGGCUCACCUAGGCGACGAUCCCUAGCUGGUCUGAGAGGAUGAACAGGCACGCGGGAGCUGAGACACGGUACAGACUCCGACGAGAGGCAGCAUUGGGGAAUAUUGCACAAUGGGCGAAAGCCUGAUGCAGCCAUGCCGCGUGUAUGAAGAAGGCCUUCGGGUUGUAAAGUACUUUCAGCGGGGAGGCGUUAACCGCAGAAGAAGCACCGGCUAACACCGUGCCAGCAGCCGCGGUAAUUC
rnacentral:rRNA from 1 species